AAAAGCGGCGAACUGUCUGGCAUGGGCGAA
rnacentral:rRNA from 1 species